CGAGAAAAGCCUCUAGAUAGAAAAUAGGUGCCCGUACCGCAAACCGACACAGGUAGUCAAGAUGAGAAUUCUAAGGUGAGCGAGCGAACUCUCGUUAAGGAACUCGGCAAAAUGACCCCGUAACUUCGGGAGAAGGGGUGCUCUUUAGGGUUAACGCCCAGAAGAGCCGCAGUGAAUAGGCCCAAGCGACUGUUUAUCAAAAACACAGGUCUCUGCUAAACCGUAAGGUGAUGUAUAGGGGCUGACGCCUGCCCGGUGCUGGAAGGUUAAGAGGAGUGGUUAGCUUCUGCGAAGCUACGAAUCGAAGCCCCAGUAAACGGCGGCCGUAACUAUAACGGUCCUAAGGUAGCGAAAUUCCUUGUCGGGUAAGUUCCGACCCGCACGAAAGGCGUAACGAUUUGGGCACUGUCUCAACGAGAGACUCGGUGAAAUCAUAGUACCUGUGAAGAUGCAGGUUACCCGCGACAGGACGGAAAGACCCCGUGGAGCUUUACUGUAGCCUGAUAUUGAAAUUCGGCACAGCUUGUACAGGAUAGGUAGGAGCCUUUGAAACGUGAGCGCUAGCUUACGUGGAGGCGCUGGUGGGAUACUACCCUAG
rnacentral:rRNA from 1 species